rfam:Stegodyphus mimosarum contig103275, whole genome shotgun sequence.
GCCUUCGUGGUGUAAUGGUCAGCACACUGAGCCGGUAUUUCAGAGGUCCGUGGUUCGAUCCCCGGGGAAGGCA